AGCCACUCAAUGCACACAUAGUGAACUAUUCUUUUAUUUCUUACUGAAGAAAGAAUUCCCUGUGUGAAUUGCAAAUAAUGGUAUACGUCAAUUUUUGGAGGGAUUCUCUAUAUUGAGGAUC